rnacentral:rRNA from 1 species
AGUGAACGCUGGCGGUAGGCCUAACACAUGCAAGUCGAACGGCAGCACAGUAAGAGCUUGCUCUUACGGGUGGCGAGUGGCGGACGGGUGAGGAAUACAUCGGAAUCUACUUUUUCGUGGGGGAUAUCGUAGGGAAACUUACGCUACUACCGCAUACGACCUACGGGUGAAAGCAGGGGAUCUUCGGACCUUGCGCGAUUGUAUGAGCCGAUGUCGGAUUAGCUAGUUUGCGUGGUAAAGUCACACCAAGGCGACGAUCCGUAGCUGGUCUGAGAGGAUGAUCAGCCACACUGGAACUGAGACACGGUCCAGACUCCUACGGGAGGCAGCAGUGGGGAAUAUUGGACAAUGGGCGCAAGCCUGAUCCAGCCAUACCGCGUGAGUGAAGAAGGCCUUCGGGUUGUAAAGCCCUUUUGUUGGGAAAGAAAAGCAGCAGGUUAAUACCCCGCUGUUCUGACGGUACCCAAAGAAUAAGCACCGGCUAACUUCGUG